CGGGGGAACUGAAACAUCUAAGUACCCCGAGGAAAAGAAAUCAACCGAGAUUCCCCCAGUAGCGGCGAGCGAACGGGGAGCAGCCCAGAGCCUGAAUCAGUAUGUGUGUUAGUGGAAGCGUCUGGAAAGGCGCGCGAUACAGGGUGACAGCCCCGUACACAAAAAUGCACAUGCUGUGAGCUCGAUGAGUAGGGCGGGACACGUGGUAUCCUGUCUGAAUAUGGGGGGACCAUCCUCCAAGGCUAAAUACUCCUGACUGACCGAUAGUGAACCAGUACCGUGAGGGAAAGGCGAAAAGAACCCCGGCGAGGGGAGUGAAAAAGAACCUGAAACCGUGUACGUACAAGCAGUGGGAGCACGCUUAGGCGUGUGACUGCGUACCUUUUGUAUAAUGGGUCAGCGACUUAUAUUCUGUAGCAAGGUUAACCGAAUAGGGGAGCCGAAGGGAAACCGAGUCUUAACUGGGCGUUAAGUUGCAGGGUAUAGACCCGAAACCCGGUGAUCUAGCCAUGGGCAGGUUGAAGGUUGGGUAACACUAACUGGAGGACCGAACCGACUAAUGUUGAAAAAUUAGCGGAUGACUUGUGGCUGGGGGUGAAAGGCCAAUCAAACCGGGAGAUAGCUGGUUCUCCCCGAAAGCUAUUUAGGUAGCGCCUCGUGAAUUCAUCUCCGGGGGUAGAGCACUGUUUCGGCAAGGGGGUCAUCCCGACUUACCAACCCGAUGCAAACUGCGAAUACCGGAGAAUGUUAUCACGGGAGACACACGGCGGGUGCUAACGUCCGUCGUGAAGAGGGAAACAACCCAGACCGCCAGCUAAGGUCCCAAAGUCAUGGUUAAGUGGGAAACGAUGUGGGAAGGCCCAGACAGCCAGGAUGUUGGCUUAGAAGCAGCCAUCAUUUAAAGAAAGCGUAAUAGCUCACUGGUCGAGUCGGCCUGCGCGGAAGAUGUAACGGGGCUAAACCAUGCACCGAAGCUGCGGCAGCGACACUAUGUGUUGUUGGGUAGGGGAGCGUUCUGUAAGCCUGUGAAGGUGUGCUGUGAGGCAUGCUGGAGGUAUCAGAAGUGCGAAUGCUGACAUAAGUAACGAUAAAGCGGGUGAAAAGCCCGCUCGCCGGAAGACCAAGGGUUCCUGUCCAACGUUAAUCGGGGCAGGGUGAGUCGACCCCUAAGGCGAGGCCGAAAGGCGUAGUCGAUGGGAAACAGGUUAAUAUUCCUGUACUUGGUGUUACUGCGAAGGGGGGACGGAGAAGGCUAUGUUGGCCGGGCGACGGUUGUCCCGGUUUAAGCGUGUAGGCUGGUUUUCCAGGCAAAUCCGGAAAAUCAAGGCUGAGGCGUGAUGACGAGGCACUACGGUGCUGAAGCAACAAAUGCCCUGCUUCCAGGAAAAGCCUCUAAGCAUCAGGUAACAUCAAAUCGUACCCCAAACCGACACAGGUGGUCAGGUAGAGAAUACCAAGGCGCUUGAGAGAACUCGGGUGAAGGAACUAGGCAAAAUGGUGCCGUAACUUCGGGAGAAGGCACGCUGAUAUGUAGGUGAAGUCCCUCGCGGAUGGAGCUGAAAUCAGUCGAAGAUACCAGCUGGCUGCAACUGUUUAUUAAAAACACAGCACUGUGCAAACACGAAAGUGGACGUAUACGGUGUGACGCCUGCCCGGUGCCGGAAGGUUAAUUGAUGGGGUUAGCCGCAAGGCGAAGCUCUUGAUCGAAGCCCCGGUAAACGGCGGCCGUAACUAUAACGGUCCUAAGGUAGCGAAAUUCCUUGUCGGGUAAGUUCCGACCUGCACGAAUGGCGUAAUGAUGGCCAGGCUGUCUCCACCCGAGACUCAGUGAAAUUGAACUCGCUGUGAAGAUGCAGUGUACCCGCGGCAAGACGGAAAGACCCCGUGAACCUUUACUAUAGCUUGACACUGAACAUUGAGCCUUGAUGUGUAGGAUAGGUGGGAGGCUUUGAAGUGUGGACGCCAGUCUGCAUGGAGCCGACCUUGAAAUACCACCCUUUAAUGUUUGAUGUUCUAACGUUGACCCGUAAUCCGGGUUGCGGACAGUGUCUGGUGGGUAGUUUGACUGGGGCGGUCUCCUCCUAAAGAGUAACGGAGGAGCACGAAGGUUGGCUAAUCCUGGUCGGACAUCAGGAGGUUAGUGCAAUGGCAUAAGCCAGCUUGACUGCGAGCGUGACGGCGCGAGCAGGUGCGAAAGCAGGUCAUAGUGAUCCGGUGGUUCUGAAUGGAAGGGCCAUCGCUCAACGGAUAAAAGGUACUCCGGGGAUAACAGGCUGAUACCGCCCAAGAGUUCAUAUCGACGGCGGUGUUUGGCACCUCGAUGUCGGCUCAUCACAUCCUGGGGCUGAAGUAGGUCCCAAGGGUAUGGCUGUUCGCCAUUUAAAGUGGUACGCGAGCUGGGUUUAGAACGUCGUGAGACAGUUCGGUCCCUAUCUGCCGUGGGCGCUGGAGAACUGAGGGGGGCUGCUCCUAGUACGAGAGGACCGGAGUGGACGCAUCACUGGUGUUCGGGUUGUCAUGCCAAUGGCACUGCCCGGUAGCUAAAUGCGGAAGAGAUAAGUGCUGAAAGCAUCUAAGCACGAAACUUGCCCCGAGAUGAGUUCUCCCUGACUCCUUGAGAGUCCUGAAGGAACGUUGAAGACGACGACGUUGAUAGGCCGGGUGUGUAAGCGCAGCGAUGCGUUGAGCUAACCGGUACUAAUGAACCGUGAGGCUUAACCU
rnacentral:rRNA from 1 species